AUUGAACGCUGGCGGCAUGCUUUACACAUGCAAGUCGGACGGCAGCACAGAGAAGCUUGCUUCUUGGGUGGCGAGUGGCGAACGGGUGAGUAAUAUAUCGGAACGUACCGAGUAAUGGGGGAUAACUAAUCGAAAGAUUAGCUAAUACCGCAUAUUCUCUGAGGAGGAAAGCAGGGGACCUUCGGGCCUUGCGUUAUUCGAGCGGCCGAUAUCUGAUUAGCUAGUUGGUGGGGUAAAGGCCUACCAAGGCGACGAUCAGUAGCGGGUCUGAGAGGAUGAUCCGCCACACUGGGACUGAGACACGGCCCAGACCCCUACGGGAGGCAGCAGUGGGGAAUUUUGGACAAUGGGCGCAAGCCUGAUCCAGCCAUGCCGCGUGUCUGAAGAAGGCCUUCGGGUUGUAAAGGACUUUUGUCAGGGAAGAAAAGGCUGUUGCUAAUACCGACAGCUGAUGACGGUACCUGAAGAAUAAGCACCGGCUAACUACGUG
rnacentral:rRNA from 1 species